AGCUUGUCCGAUUUAUUGGCGUAAAGCGAGCCAGGCGUUUCUUAAUCUGAUGGAAAGCCCCGGCUCACCGGGGAAGGUCAUUGAAACUGGGAGCUUGAGUGCAGAAGAGGAGAGUGAAUUCCAUGUGUAGCGUGAAAUGCGUAGAUAUAUGGAGGAACACCAGUGGCGAAGCGGCUCUCUGGUCUGUAACUGACGCUGAGGCUCGAAAGCGUGGGGAGCGAACAGGAUUAGAUACCCUGGUAGUCCACGCCGUAAACGAUGAGUGCUAAGUGUUGGAGGGUUUCCGCCCUUCAGUGCUGCAGCAAACGCAUUAAGCACUCCGCCUGGGGAGUACGACCGCAAGGUUGAAACUCAAAGGAAUUGACGGGGGCCCGCACAAGCGGUGGAGCAUGUGGUUUAAUUCGAAGCAACGCGAAGAACCUUACCAGGUCUUGACAUCCUUUGACCACUCUAGAGAUAGAGCUUCCCCUUCGGGGGCAAAGUGACAGGUGGUGCAUGGU
rnacentral:rRNA from 1 species